rnacentral:rRNA from 1 species
AGAGUUUGAUCAUGGCUCAGAUUGAACGCUGGCGGUAUGCUUAACACAUGCAAGUCGGACGGCAGCAUGGUUUGUAGCAAUACGAACUGAUGGCGAGUGGCGGACGGGUGAGAAACGCGUAGGAAUCUGCCUUGUAGAGGGGGACAACUAGAGGAAACUCUAGCUAAUACCGCAUAAAGUCGAGAGACCAAAGGCUGGGGCAACCUGGCGCUAUGAGAGGAGCCUGCGUCCGAUUAGCUAGUUGGUAGGGUAAAGGCCUACCAAGGCGAUGAUCGGUAGCUGGUCUGAGAGGAUGAUCAGCCACACUGGGACUGAGACACGGCCCAGACUCCUACGGGAGGCAGCAGUGGGGAAUAUUGGACAAUGGGGGCAACCCUGAUCCAGCAAUACCGCGUGUGUGAAGAAGGCCUUCGGGUUGUAAAGCACUUUAGGUUGGGAAGAAGAUGUGUAGUUUAAGAGAUGACACAUUUGACUGUACCGACAGAAUAAGCACCGGCUAACUCUGUGCCAGCAGCCGCGGUAAUACAGAGGGUGCAAGCGUUAAUCGGAGUUACUGGGCGUAAAGGGCGCGUAGGCGGUUAUAUAAGUGAGAUGUGAAAUCCCUGGGCUUAACCUAGGAACUGCAUCUUAUACUGUGUGACUAGAGUAUUGUAGAGGGUAGUGGAAUUUCCGGUGUAGCGGUGAAAUGCGUAGAGAUCGGAAGGAACACCAGUGGCGAAGGCGGCUACCUGGACAAAUACUGACGCUGAGGCGCGAGAGCGUGGGGAGCAAACAGGAUUAGAUACCCUAGUAGUCC